AGAGUUUGAUCCUGGCUCAGAUUGAACGCUGGCGGCAUGCCUUACACAUGCAAGUCGAACGGCAGCACGGGGGCAACCCUGGUGGCGAGUGGCGAACGGGUGAGUAAUACAUCGGAACGUGCCCUGAAGUGGGGGAUAACGUAGCGAAAGUUACGCUAAUACCGCAUAUUCUGUGAGCAGGAAAGCAGGGGAUCGCAAGACCUUGUGCUUUAGGAGCGGCCGAUGUCGGAUUAGCUAGUUGGCGAGGUAAAGGCUCACCAAGGCGACGAUCCGUAGCGGGUCUGAGAGGAUGAUCCGCCACACUGGGACUAGACACGGCCCAGACUCCUACGGGAGGCAGCAGUGGGGAAUUUUGGACAAUGGGCGCAAGCCUGAUCCAGCCAUGCCGCGUGAGUGAAGAAGGCCUUCGGGUUGUAAAGCUCUUUCGGCGGGGAAGAAAUUGCUUCGGCUAAUACCCGGAGUAGAUGACGGUACCCGCAUAAGAAGCACCGGCUAACUACGUGCCAGCAGCCGCGGUAAUACGUAGGGUGCGAGCGUUAAUCGGAAUUACUGGGCGUAAAGCGUGCGCAGGCGGUUGUAUAAGUCAGAUGUGAAAUCCCCGGGCUCAACCUGGGAACUGCAUUUGAGACUGUACGGCUAGAGUGUAGCAGAGGGGGGUAGAAUUCCACGUGUAGCAGUGAAAUGCGUAGAGAUGUGGAGGAAUACCGAUGGCGAAGGCAGCCCCCUGGGUUACUACUGACGCUCAUGCACGAAAGCGUGGGGAGCAAACAGGAUUAGAUACCCUGGUAGUCCACGCCCUAAACGAUGUCAACUAGGUGUUGGAAGGGUUAAACCUUUUAGUGCCGUAGCUAACGCGUGAAGUUGACCGCCUGGGGAGUACGGCCGCAAGGCUAAAACUCAAAGGAAUUGACGGGGACCCGCACAAGCGGUGGAUGAUGUGGAUUAAUUCGAUGCAACGCGAAAAACCUUACCUACCCUUGACAUGUCAGGAAUCCCGGAGAGAUUUGGGAGUGCUCGAAAGAGAACCUGAACACAGGUGCUGCAUGGCUGUCGUCAGCUCGUGUCGUGAGAUGUUGGGUUAAGUCCCGCAACGAGCGCAACCCUUGUCAUUAAUUGCCAUCAUUUAGUUGGGCACUUUAAUGAGACUGCCGGUGACAAACCGGAGGAAGGUGGGGAUGACGUCAAGUCCUCAUGGCCCUUAUGGGUAGGGCUUCACACGUCAUACAAUGGUCGGUUCAGAGGGUUGCCAACCCGCGAGGGGGAGCCAAUCUCAGAAAGCCGAUCGUAGUCCGGAUUGGAGUCUGCAACUCGACUCCAU
rnacentral:rRNA from 1 species